rnacentral:rRNA from 1 species
GUCUGCAGCCCGACCGCCCUGAACCCGCCGAUCUUGUCUGAUCUCAGAAGCUAAGCGGGGUCGGGCCUCGUUAGCGCUUGGGUGGGAGACAGCUCCCGGGUGCUGUAGGCU